rnacentral:misc_RNA from 1 species
AAGUCGUAACAAGGUCUUCGUAGGUGAACCUGCGAAGGGAUCAUUAACACGUUCCAAACCUAUUAUCAACCCAUCUGUGAACUUCUGUUACCGCCGAUAUGGCUAACCACAAGUGUAUGGCGCAUACGAUCGACUCAACGAUGUGAGGUGCAGUCUUCUGUACCUGGUCCUAGUGUGCCUCGUGUCCCUCUUACGAGGGGCAGCUAUCCUUGUGUGUCGGUCCGGCCCCCAUAUAUGUGCUUCGGCAGUCGUCAUCUGCUGUCGAUUCGCAUAUCACCACACGCCCUGCGGCUCGUGCGU